rnacentral:tRNA from 1 species
GGAUAUAGCUCAGGGGUGGAGUGUCUGCUUAGCAUGCAUGAGGUCCUGGGUUCUAUCCCCAGUACCUCCA